ACUCCUACGGGAGGCAGCAGUGGGGAAUAUUGCACAAUGGGCGCAAGCCUGAUGCAGCGACGCCGCGUGAGGGAUGACGGCCUUCGGGUUGUAAACCUCUUUCAGUAGGGAAGAAGCGAAAGUGACGGUACCUGCAGAAGAAGCGCCGGCUAACUAC
rnacentral:rRNA from 1 species